rnacentral:rRNA from 1 species
CGCGUAGGCGGUUUGAUAAGUCAGAUGUGAAAGCCCACGGCUUAACUGUGGAAGUGCAUUUGAAACUGUCAGACUUGAGUAUCAGAGGGGAAAGUGGAAUUCCCGGUGUAGAGGUGAAAUUCGUAGAUAUCGGGAGGAAUACCGAUGGCGAAGGCGACUUUCUGGCUGAAUACUGACGCUGAGGCGCGAAAGCGUGGGGAGCAAACA